rnacentral:snRNA from 1 species
AUCACUUCUCAAAGCAAUUUGCUUUGAUCAUGUGUAGUAUCUGUUCUAGAAAGCUUAAUCUCUUUCUGCGGUCACACGUUGACCGCAUAAUUGAUUAAACUAAUUUAUCUAGAGGGACCCGGAACACCAUGGUAUGGGCUUGCUCAUAUCGUUCCAGUCAUGUAUUUGCUCUGUAUCGCACAAAGUCAGAGAUUCAAAGGUACACCUCAU